AGAGUUUGAUCCUGGCUCAGGAUGAACGCUGGCGGCGUGCCUAACACAUGCAAGUCGAACGGGGUGUCUGAUCUUCGGACUGGACACUUAGUGGCGGACGGGUGAGUAACGCGUGGGUAACCUGCCUCAUACAGGGGGAUAGCAGUUGGAAACGACUGAUAAUACCGCAUAAGCGCACAGUACCGCAUGGUACAGUGUGAAAAACUCCGGUGGUAUGAGAUGGACCCGCGUCUGAUUAGCUUGUUGGCGGGUAACGGCCCACCAAGGCGACGAUCAGUAGCCGGCCUGAGAGGGUGAACGGCCACAUUGGGACUGAGACACGGCCCAAACUCCUACGGGAGGCAGCAGUGGGGAAUAUUGCACAAUGGGGGAAACCCUGAUGCAAGCGACGCCGCGCGAAGGAUGAAGUAUUUCGGUAUGUAAACUUCUAUCAGCAGGGAAGAUGAUGACGGUACCUGACUAAGAAGCCCCGGCUAACUACGUGCCAGCCGCCGC
rnacentral:rRNA from 1 species